rnacentral:rRNA from 1 species
UACAGAGGGGGCAAGCGUUGUUCGGAAUUACUGGGCGUAAAGGGCGCGUAGGCGGCCUGUUAAGUCGAACGUGAAAUCCCGUGGGCUCAACCCAGGAACUGCGUCCGAUACUGGCAGGCUUGAAUCCGGGAGAGGGAUGUGGAAUUCCAGGUGUAGCGGUGAAAUGCGUAGAUAUCUGGAGGAACACCGGUGGCGAAGGCGGCAUCCUGGACCGGUAUUGACGCUGAGGCGCGAAAGCCAGGGAGCAAAGCGGG